rnacentral:ncRNA from 2 species
UGAUAGCGUAGAAACGUGAGGUUGCUGCAUUAGAUUGCAGGUUUUCCGUGGAGCGAAUGUCAAGUUAAGAAACUGGCGACAA